AUGCUCUUCAAAAGCACUGGUCAUCGGACUCGGACUUGUCCAUGCCAGCCGUCAAAAUGAGCUAUAUGAAUUAUCUUGUUUUUGGGUGAGGUGUAAACGUAAUUAGGUUAGAUCUCAAUAACACGAUGACAAUU
rnacentral:snoRNA from 1 species